UACGUAGGGUGCAAGCGUUGUCCGGAAUUAUUGGGCGUAAAGAGCUCGUAGGCGGUUUGUUGCGUCGGCUGUGAAAUCCCGAGGCUCAACCUCGGGUCUGCAGUCGAUACGAGCAAACUAGAGUGUUGCAGGGGAGACUGGAAUUCCUGGUGUAGCGGUGAAAUGCGCAGAUAUCAGGAGGAACACCGGUGGCGAAGGCGGGGUCUCUGGGCCGUAAACUGACGCUGGAGGAGCGAAAAGCAUGGGGGAGCGAACAGG
rnacentral:rRNA from 1 species